GAAGUUGGAGUCAGACAGGUUGAUCCAAAUGCAAAUAGCCUUGUCUACACAGUGCAGAGUGCUGAAAGAAUGGAUCAAAUUGAAGUACCCAGGGAAGAACUCCACAAAAUUACAGGUAAUGUCUAGCAUAUCUUUUGUAGCUUAAUGCUCCUUGAAUAAUAAUAAAAAAAAAAGACUGGGUGCCUCCGUUAAAAGAUGCUCCUAGUGCUCGCCAAUAACCAUCAGCACCGCACUCGACACCACAACCACCGCCAACGCCACAAACCGCCUUAGCUUUGUUGGGGUUUCGCCAUCCUCCACCCACCCUGGACCCAAGACCGGGUUCCAGAUUCCAGUGGUGGAACCUCUCCUAAUUCCAGAGAGCAGGAACCAGGAACAAGCUCUUACAAGAGCUUACUCUGGGGAGUAUUGUGAUAUAGCAAUCUCCAGAGUGUAGGCAAUUCUCCAAUCCCCCAAACAUGAGCCAAGACUUCAUGAAGGGGUAAGCAGGUCUGUUUAAUGCACACAAAAGGACUUUCUUUUAUACACGUUUUCACGUCAGAGGCACACCCCCUGGACCUGGUGGUAAACUGUGACAAAAGGGACACAAACCAAUGGGAACACUAAUUAACAAAAUAACACUCCCACAUACACAGUAAAAUCCCUCCCCUCUAUCCUGGAGAUAAUUGGCUUAAGAAACUGCAGUAAAUGCAAUUAUCUCCAGGUACAGAAAAUAUCUCUAUUUUACACUAACAGUAAAAUACAUAAAAAUACAUAAUUCCUAUUAUAUUACAUAGAACCCCCACAUUUAACUGAUCCCCAGAUAGCGCCCAAUAUAGGUGAACAGCGCUCAGAUCCCACGAACAGAGUAUAUUUGCCAUGGGGUUAAAGUUUUGGGGAAGCCUCUUUUGACCGACCGCACGCAGGAUUUCAUGCCCAAAACAGUUCCACAGAAUUUGGCUGUGCGACCGGUCUAUUUCGAAUGUUAAAGUCAGUUCACAUAGAAAAAUAACUAAGUCCCAUUCGAAUGCAUGAACGGGGCGCCGUUUGUGCAACUAGCUUAGUAUAACUGUGCGUUCAAAUUAUCGAACGCACUUCAAUUUCAGGCGAAGCGUCCAAGUGGAGGAGAAGGAAAGGGUCAGCGGUGUUCGUGCAAGUGUGUAGCCGAUUUUAGUUCCAUGGAUUUGAUGGCACACACUGCUGACCUCGUUCGACGAAUAAAGAUGGCGGCCGCCCAGCGGUCGGCAAUUAACCUGCGGUUAACCGCCAGCCUGGGAGGUAAAUUGCCUGCAUACUUCCACUUGCGUGUGGUCCGACGGGGCGCCGUUUGUGCAACUAGCUUAGUAUAACUGUGCGUUCAAAUUGUCGAACGCACUUCAAUUUCAGCCGAAGCGUCCAAGUGGAGGAGAAGGAAAGGGUCAGCGGUGUUCGUGCAAGUGUGUAGCCGAUUUUAGUUCCAUGGAUUUGAUGGCACACACUGCUGACCUCGUUCGACGAAUAAAGAUGGCGGCCGCCCAGAGGUCGGCAAUUAACCUGCGGUUAACCGCCAGCCUGGGAGGUAAAUUGCCUGCAUACUUCCACUUGCGUGUGGUCCGACGGGGCGCCGUUUGUGCAACUAGCUUAGUAUAACUGUGCGUUCAAAUUAUCGAACGCACUUCAAUUUCAGGCGAAGCGUCCAAGUGGAGGAGAAGGAAAGGGUCAGCGGUGUUCGUGCAAGUGUGUAGCCGAUUUUAGUUCCAUGGAUUUGAUGGCACACACUGCUGACCUCGUUCGACGAAUAAAGAUGGCGGCCGCCCAGAGGUCGGCAAUUAACCUGCGGUUAACCGCCAGCCUGGGAGGUAAAUUGCCUGCAUACUUCCACUUGCGUGUGGUCCGACGGGGCGCCGUUUGUGCAACUAGCUUAGUAUAACUGUGCGUUCAAAUUGUCGAACGCACUUCAAUUUCAGCCGAAGCGUCCAAGUGGAGGAGAAGGAAAGGGUCAGCGGUGUUCGUGCAAGUGUGUAGCCGAUUUUAGUUCCAUGGAUUUGAUGGCACACACUGCUGACCUCGUUCGACGAAUAAAGAUGGCGGCCGCCCAGAGGUCGGCAAUUAACCUGCGGUUAACCGCCAGCCUGGGAGGUAAAUUGCCUGCAUACUUCCACUUGCGUGUGGUCCGCCUGUACAAUAAUUGGUUAGGUAAACCCAAAUUAACGAACCAUAUUAGAAAAGGACACGAACAAAGUAUUUUAAAGCUCCCACGCCAGGGAAAGGAUGCAUUAAGCAUCAGGGCUGCUGGCUGCUACGCGCCCGCCCCUUUUAAAGAGUCAGUGCAUGCGUACCAACCCCCAGUGGUCAGAAGGGCUCUAAACAAGAGAGCUCAACGUACAUGUACCUUUUGGGGGCGUAGUUAUGUAAAUCACGCCCCCAAUCAUAUAAAAGCCUAGUCUGCCUCCAAAUCAGUGCCCUGUUGUGGUUCCUAGUGUCCCCUCAGUGCGUCCCUGUAUUCUUUUGAUUGUUCUUUGUGUUUUGACCCGGCUUGCUUUUGUCUAUUCUGAUUUCUGGUUUCCCUGACUUGGCUACGUUCCUCGCUAUUGUGUAUUUCUAGCUUCCUUUGACCUUGGCUUGUUUCUGGCAUUUCUUGUAGUUUCUAUUAUUCCGGCCAUUCUAAGGACUGGUUAAGGACUUUCUACCUGUCUCUAUUAUCUUGGUGAUUUUCACUCUGCGUAUUGGGUAUUAACGUUACAUUACAACAGGGCCAAUGGACCCUGCAGGUGUUAAUCCCCAAAAAAUGGCUCAGGACGCUAGGCUGGAUGGAAAAAAGUGCUCAGUGUAAAUAGGCGCUUAGUGGAAAUGCAAAUUAAAAACAGCAGCCAAAUGGUAUGGAUCACCGUAUGGAUCAAAUCGCCCAAGCCUUACAAACUCUGAUUACUCAAUCUAAUGAACCACGUACCCAAUCACUUACCCCUGUACCUGCUGGUGCAGAAUCUUCUACUCACAGCCAUAACUCUAAUCCAAAUCACCCCAUACGUUAUAAUGGGGAUCCAUCGAAAUGUAGAGGGUUUCUUAACCAGGUUAGCAUUUUGUUUGAAUUAUGUCCCAGAGUGUACCCUACUGAUAGGGCCAAAAUAGGUUUCAUCAUUACCCUGCUAACUGAUAGAGCCCUUAUUUGGGCAAAUCCGCUCCGGGAGAACAAAUAGUCCAUUAGUUUUUGACUACCCUCAGUUCCUAGCAGUGUUCAGGAGAGCUUUUGAUCCUCCAGGCAGGAAAGCCAGUGCUGCCUGAGCUCUCUUGCGAUUAAGACAAGGAAACCGUUCCCUCAUGGAUUAUGCUUUAGAAUUCCGUUCAUUGGAAUCAGAAGUUUGUUGGAACAACCAGGCAUUCCUGGUUUGGACACAUUGAUUAGAGGCUUAGACACAGGCAAAACACCGUAGAAAGGCCCAGAAGAUCGGCUAUCAGACCACCUCCCACUCUCCCCUCUGAGUUGAUGACGGUUGCUAUCCCAGAACCUAUGCAAUUAGGUAAGACAAGGUUAUCUGAGAAAGAGCGUCAACAUAGAAGGAGGUUGUGCAUGUACUGUGGUAAAAGAGGACAUCUAUGUUUAUCAUGUCCAGAAAGGCCAGGAAACUUCAGAGCUUAAGGCCAUAAGGACUGGGUGUACUUAAUGAUUCCUCCAUACAUAAUCAUGAAAAGUGGCUUCUACUACCGAUCACCUUAAAAUGGGAGGGUAAGGUUAUCCAUUCUCAUGCCCUUACAGACUCUGGGGGUGCAUAGAACUUCAUAGAUAGGAUCUUUGCUGAGGGAUCUGCUAUCCCUCUCCGAAACAAAACACCCUUGGCCAUAGAGGCCAUAGAUGGUAGACCUCUUGAGGAGCCCUCCAUUACUAAGGAAUCUAUUCCGGUCCUUAUGAUGGUUGGGGCUCUUCAUAAGGAGAUCGUUGUUUUACAAGUUAUCUCCUCACCAUCCUUCCCUUUGGUAUUGGGGUAUCCAUUUAUUGUUUAAACAUAAUCCACAGAUACAUUGGGAAUCAGGAGAGAUUGUUAAAUGGUGCCCUUCUUGCUCAGAAGGAUGUACCACUAGGAUUAGACCCAUGGUUCUCAUAAACGUGCCUGUCUUACCUCUGUUGUCCACUGAUGUGCCCAAGGUAUAUCAAGAUUUGAAGGAGGUAUUUGACAAAAAGAAAGCUGAUGAGCUACCCCCGCAUCGGUUGUAUGACUGUCCUAUUAAACUGUUGCCAGUGACUAUGCCACCGAGAGGCACUGUUUACCCUCUCUCUCUCAAAGAGAAUCAGAUUUUGGAAGAGUAUAUUCGGGAGAACCUAGAGAAAGGUUUUAUCAGAAGGUUCUCUUCUCCUGCUGGAGUGGGGUUCUUUUUUGUUUCAAAGAAAGAGGGUAAUCUCAGGCCGUGUAUAGAUUACAGGGGUUUGAACAAAAUCCCUGUACAUAAUGUCUAUCCGAUUCCUCUGAUCACAGAACUAUUUGACCAGUUGAAGGGUUUCAGGAUCUUCACCAAAUUAGAUUUACGAAGUGCUUAUAAUUUGGUGAGGAUUAAAAAUGUACAUGAAUGGAAGACAGCUUUCAAUACUAGGUACGGGCAUUAUGAAUGCACAGUCAUGCCUUUUUGACUUUGUAAUGCCCCUGCCAUCUUCCAGGACCUGAUAAACGAUGUAUUGAGAGGGUUAAAAGCCAUCCAACGUUUCAUUGGGUUUUCUAACUACUAUAGGAGGUUUAUAAAAGGGUUUUCCUCCAUAAUGUCACCUAUCUCAAACAUGACAAAGAAGGGCAAAUCUAAUCAGUUAUGGACUCCGUAAGCACUAAUUGCCUUUAACACCCUGAAGGCUGCAUUCGCUUCAGCACCUAUCCUAGUCCAUCCGGACCCAUCACUCCCUUUUCUUUUAGAGGUAGAUGAAUCCGAUAUAGGUGUAGGGGCUAUUCUCUCCCAAUGUUUGUCUCCUGAUCAACCCCUCCAUCCGUGUGGAUUCUUUUCUAAGAAACUUUCCAAAACAGAGAAGAAUUACGAGAUAGGAGAUAGGGAACGCUUAGCAAUUGCACUGGCCCUCAAAGAAUUUCAUCAUUUGCUAGAAGGCUCUUCAACUCCUGUUACUAUCCUGACAGAUCAUAAAAACCUAUCUUACAUGAGCGAGGCCAAGAGACUGACAGCUAGACAGGCAAGGUGGUCUUUGUUAUUCUCACGUUUUAACUUUAUACUUACCUAUAGACCAGGUACCAACAAUACGAAAGCAGAUGCAUUAUCUCAUUAAUUCGAACCUAUCUUUUUCCAAAAUCGAAGAAUUAGCUCCUAUUAUCCCUAAAAAUAAGAUUAUAGCAGUUACCCAUCUAAACAUUGGUUCCGAUCUCAUUAGGACUUUACGAGAUGUACAAAACAUAGCACCUAGUCAGACCCCACAGGAUAGGCUAUUCGUCCCUUCUGAAUUCCUAAGGGAGGUCCUAGACUUAUGCCACGAUAACAAGACAGCUGGUCAUCCUGGAACCAAGAAGACCAGUGACCUCAUUGCUGCUCGGUUUUGGUGGCCUUCUUUUAGGCAUGAUGUGAAGGAUUACGUACAAACAUGCCAUGUAUGUGCCCGAUCUAAAACCUCACAUGCCUUGCCCUGCGGUCUAUUGCAAUCUUUGGAAAUACCUAAAAACCUGUGGUCUAGCAUAUCCAUUGAUUUUAUAGUAGAAUUACCUAAAUCGAAGGGUAAUACCGUGGUCUUAACUAUCACAGAUAGGUUUACCAAGAUGGUACAUUUUGUGUCCUUACCUAAGCUUCCCUCAUCUAUCGAAUUAGCGGAUAUCUUUGCUAGAGAAGUAUUUCGCUUACAUGGCAUACCCGAAGAGAGAGUGUCCGAUAGGGGUCCUCAAUUCAUCUCUCGAUUCUGGAAGGCAUUUACUGACCAACUUUGUAUCAAGUUAUGUCAUUCUUCAGCCUCACCCUCAAUCUAACGGUGAUGCUGAAAGGACUAAUCAAUCCCUGAAACAGUACCUAUGGUGUUUUAUUUCUGACAACCAGGAUAAUUAGGCGAUACUGCUUCCCUGGGCUGAGUUUGCUUAUAAUUGUACCCAAAGGGAGUCCAUGAGCUGCAGCCCUUUUUACCUCAACUAUGGCUUCUAUCCUUCCGUUCUUCUGGCUGUCUUUCCUUCAUUGGAGAUACCGGCUGUAGAGGAAUAUUUGGGUGGCCUGAGGGCCAUUUGGGAGCAGGUUCAACACAUCCUGACUCAUAAGGUCGCCUUGCAGAAAAAAUACGCUGACAGACACCGACAAGCUGCUCCAUCUUAUCAAGCAGGUGAUAGGGUUUGGCUCAGUACCAAGAAUAUCAAUCUGAAAGUGCCUUCCAAGAAACUGGCUCCUCAUUUCAUAGGUCCCUAUCGGAUUCUGAGACGUGUGACGCCGGUUUCAUACAGGUUGUAAUUGCCCUCUGCUUUGUGAAUCCCUAAUACCUUUCACAUGUCGUUAUUGAUACUUCUUUCUUGCGAUAGGUUCACCAGACCCUUCUUUGUUCCUGCUCCUGUUGUUGUCUUCAGUCAAUCUGGCAUCUGCAUGGAGUUAAGUGGGAAGACAGCCACUAUUUCGUUACCAGACCAACAUUCGGCUUCAUAUGUAGCCCAAGUUAUGCGAUAUCUUCGCCAAAACCUUAAACCUGGCUCCUACGGAACAUAUGCAGAUGUCUUACGCUACUUAGAUAACUUCCUCACCAUCGAACCACACCAAAGCACACCACACAGCCUGAAUCACAUGUUCACUCUUUUCAAAGAUUAGGAGUACCCAUAGCCGGCACAAAACACAGAGAUCACAUUCCCGGGGUUUACACUCGGUUCUAUUUCUAUGCAGGCCAACCUGCCACUAGUGUAAGUAGAUAGAAUUCUUUUACAUCAACAUAUGCACGUCACAAGACUCUUGCACCAGGAAUCUGCUACAGUCACUACCUGGUUCACUCAAUUUUGCGGGGAGAAUAAUUCCACAAGGUAAGUCUUUAUUUCCAGAAUCCUCUUUCUUGCAUGGUCUCCCUGUCGACGACUCCACAGCUCUCUUAGACAAACCAGCUAGAGCUGAUAUUAAGAAGGUGGCAUCUGUUCCUGUCCUCUUGGAAUGGCAGGUCACUACUCGUUCCCCCCGACGAUUCCCCUAUGGUCCGGACUGACACAUCAGGUGCCGUAGAUUAUGCAGCAAAGUUUGGUUACAAAUGGGUACACGUCUCUUGGCCAAUUGAGUCUACCUCGCAAGUAAAUUUCAAUACCACCUCAGCACUAUUUGAAUCUACCCUAUCGUAGCAGCUACACAUAUAUACGGGGCAAAGAGUGGAGAGGGCAGUCGGUCAGAUGCUUUUCUAAUAUCUUGGCGACAUGUAAUAUUGUUAACAAAGGCCGCUCUCAGUCCCUCUCGAUUUAUUAACUUGGUAAGGAGUCUUACCUGGCUAGUGGCAAAUCUUCAAUUCUGCAAAACUUAUUUUCACAUUCCGGGUAUUCAGGUUAACGCAGCAGACGCUCUCCCACACUCUAAUUUGCAGGAAUUUUUUGAAGGUCAUCCAUCAGCAAACUUGCAGCCCAAGGAGCCUCCAAGCUUCAAAGUCCUAAUUAUGAGUUAAAUACUCUGUUGCUCCAUAGUAGGUCGCUUGCACAGGCUGGUUUAUACCUUAAUUUAAGAAAGCUUAUUCCAAGAGCGUAUCAGUUGUUUAAAGGUUUGUUUGUGUUUAUUGUGUGAUAAAUGUUUCUAUUUGUAAAUAUGGUCGCAUUUACAACUUUGCCACUUUUCUCCUAAAUUAGUUUACAAUACUAUCAAACCUUACUUUACAGGCAUAAACAUUUGUCUAUUACUCAUACCAAAACGGGCCAUACUGGUCCUCCAGUAGAGAUAAAAUAUUUUCCUACCUCUACCAAAUCAGGUCCUAUCCACGUUUUGGAUAAUCUUUUGGAAUCUCAACUCACUUCCAUCCCUGAUUCCCCACUAGUAGCUUUUCAAGGGAAACCCUUAACCAAUAAAAAUUUUAUGCUUUACAUUCGUACGAUAUCACUCUGACUAGGACAUAACCCUCAUUCCUUCUCGGGCCAUUUAUUACGCAUUGGAGCAGCCACAGCUGCCUCCGGUAAUCACAUACCAACUCACAUCAUUAAAAAUAUGGGUCGGGGGAAAUCAUCCGCAUACAACAAAUACAUCUCCAAUCCUGAGAAAGAAAUAAGAUUGGCUUUCUGUGAAAUGUCUAGAUAAUGAUCUGCUGAAUAAAUGUAUGUGACUUGUAAGAAUCGCUUCUUAUAUUUUUGCCCUCUUUUACAGGUCUAACCUCACUUCAGUUUCGGCACACCUCAACUGUCUGUGUUCUUACUACUAUUGCUCCCUUAUUAUUGUUCCUUACGUCCUCGAAAUGUGCCGUACACAAAUAUAUAAAUAUAUAUAUAUAUAUACACACACACACAUACAUAUAGAUAUAUAAAUAAAAUGUAAUAUAUAUAAUUUAGUUUUUAAUUAUUAUUUUAAUUCACAAGAAGCAGUCAUUUAUCAAAAGCUGUGGUUUACCUUUGCCUUCUAGCCUUUUAUUUUUCUAGCUUAAGUUGACAAUUUCAAUAAUAUUACAAAUGAUGCAAUUAAAACAUUUAUUUUCUAUCUAAGGUAAAAAAAAAGUUAGUGUCAUGAACACUUGGAUUGACUUUGAAAAUCUUCAACAUCUGUUUCAAGUUUACAACACUAACCUUAUUAGUGAAGACUCUGCAGUGUCUGACGGAGGAUACAAGU